rnacentral:rRNA from 1 species
AUUGAACGCUGGCGGUAUGCUUAACACAUGCAAGUCGAACGGUAACAGGCCUUCGGGCGCUGACGAGUGGCGGACGGGUGAGUAACGCGUAGGAAUCUGCCUCAUAGUGGGGGACAACGUGGGGAAACUCACGCUAAUACCGCAUACGCCCUACGAGGGAAAGCGGGGGACCCUCGGGCCUCGCGCUAUGAGAUGAGCCUGCGUUAGAUUAGCUAGUUGGUAGGGUAAAGGCCUACCAAGGCGACGAUCUAUAGCUGGUCUGAGAGGACGAGCAGCCACACUGGGACUGAGACACGGCCCAGACUCCUACGGGGGGCAGCAGUGGGGAAUAUUGGACAAUGGGCGCAAGCCUGAUCCAGCAAUACCGCGUGUGUGAAGAAGGCCUUAGGGUUGUAAAGCACUUUCAAUGGGGAGGAAUACCUGGCGGUUAAUACCUGUCAGACUGACAUUACCCAUACAAGAAGCACCGGCUAACUCCGUGCCAGCCGCCGCGGUAAUAC